rnacentral:rRNA from 1 species
AUUGAACGCUGGCGGCAUGCCUUACACAUGCAAGUCGAACGGUAACAGGUCUUCGGAUGCUGACGAGUGGCGAACGGGUGAGUAAUACAUCGGAACGUGCCUAGUAGUGGGGGAUAACUACUCGAAAGAGUGGCUAAUACCGCAUGAGAUCUACGGAUGAAAGCAGGGGAUCGCAAGACCUUGUGCUACUAGAGCGGCCGAUGGCAGAUUAGGUAGUUGGUGGGAUAAAAGCUUACCAAGCCGACGAUCUGUAGCUGGUCUGAGAGGACGAUCAGCCACACAGGGACUGAGACACGGCCCAGGCUCCUACGGGAGGCAGCAGUGGGGAAUUUUGGACAAUGGGCGAAAGCCUGAUCCAGCAAUGCCGCGUGCAGGAUGAAGGCCUUCGGGUUGUAAACUGCUUUUGUACGGAACGAAAAGCCCCGGGUUAAUACCCUGGGGUCAUGACGGUACCGUAAGAAUAAGCACCGGCUAACUACGUGCCAGCAGCCGCGGUAA